AUUGAACGCUGGCGGAAUGCUUUACACAUGCAAGUCGAACGGCAGCACGGGAGCAAUCCUGGUGGCGAGUGGCGAACGGGUGAGUAAUGUAUCGGAACGUGCCCAGUCGUGGGGGAUAACGUAGCGAAAGCUACGCUAAUACCGCAUACGAUCUAUGGAUGAAAGCGGGGGAUCGCAAGACCUCGCGCGAUUGGAGCGGCCGAUAUCAGAUUAGGUAGUUGGUGGGGUAAAGGCUCACCAAGCCGACGAUCUGUAGCUGGUCUGAGAGGACGACCAGCCACACUGGGACUGAGACACGGCCCAGACUCCUACGGGAGGCAGCAGUGGGGAAUUUUGGACAAUGGGCGAAAGCCUGAUCCAGCAAUGCCGCGUGCAGGAUGAAGGCCUUCGGGUUGUAACUGCUUUUGUACGGAACGAAACGGCGAACUCUAAUACAGUUUGCUAAUGACGGUACCGUAAGAAUAAGCACCGGCUAACUACGUGCCAGCCGCCGCCGUAA
rnacentral:rRNA from 1 species